AUGGCCAGCUACGAGGAAGUGAGCAUGUUGGACUUUGAGGAGUUCAACCAGACUAUGAAACAGCAAAAUCACAAGACCUUUUUUGCCUUCUUUGCCAGUUCCAAGGACAUUGGAGGUAACAGAUAUAGCCCCAAUGGCAUGCGGGCCAAACCAGUUGUAGAGACGGGCUGAAGCAUGUUCGGGAAGAAUGUGCAUUCAUCUACUGCCAAGUAGGAGAAAAGCCUUAUUGGAAAGAUCCAAAUAAUGUCUUCAGGAAAAAUUUGAAAGGAGCUGCAGUGCUUAACCAUGGAACCCAGGAAAAACUGAUAGAAUCUGAGUGUCUUCAGGCCAGCAUAAUGGAAAUGUUCUCUGAAGA
rnacentral:lncRNA from 1 species